rnacentral:snRNA from 1 species
UCAGCAUCUUGGCCUUUUUGGCUAAGAUCAAAUGUAGCACCAAGGAGACGGUGUCAGGGCUGGUUCUGGCCCUUCCGGUGUCAGCCUGGUAUUGCAGUACCUCUAGUUCCCUGCAGAGGGAACACCCACCUUUUUUUUUAAAAAAAAAAAGUUUCCAUCAGAAUUUUUGGCACCAGGAGAGGGUAUCAGAGCUUUCUCUGACUUCUCUGAGUGCUGACCUGGUAUUGCAGUACUUCCAGGCCCAGUGCUCAUUCC